AAAAAAGUUAGUCGCAAGAAGUCAGCAGAUGCCAUAGUAGUGAAAUUAAUUCAUGGAGGGC
rnacentral:ncRNA from 2 species